GUUUUCUCGCGUUUCACUUCGCGCGUGUAGUUAGAUUAGGUUAGGAUCAUCAAAAUCACAAAGGAUUACAAUAGAUCAUCAGCUUUCAACAUCAGGAAAGACAUGAUAAAGUUAUUCUUCUACAUGACAACGCUCGGCCUCAUAUCGCAAAAGUGGUAAAAAAAUAUUUGGAAACGGAAUCAAAUGGAAUGUUUUACCGCACCCGCCGUAUUCUCCGGACAUUGCUCCUUUUGAUUACUGGUUGUUCCGAAGUAUGCAGCACGAUUUGGCAAGUCACCGGUUCACUUCUUUCGCAGAAAUCGAAAAUUGUCUCCAAACUUGGAUCGCCUUCAAAGAUGAGUCAUUUUUUUGAAAUGGAAUUCGAAAAUUGCCUGAGAGAUGAGAAAAAGUAGUAGCCAGCGAUGGACAAUAUUUUAAUUAACCUGUUCAUUCAUUUUGUUUUGAAAUAAAUGCAUUU